AAUGCUGACAUAAGUAACGAUAAAGCGGGUGAAAAGCCCGCUCGCCGGAAGACCAAGGGUUCCUGUCCAACGUUAAUCGGGGCAGGGUGAGUCGACCCCUAAGGCGAGGCCGAAAGGCGUAGUCGAUGGGAAACAGGUUAAUAUUCCUGUACUUGGUGUUACUGCGAAGGGGGGACGGAGAAGGCUAUGUUGGCCGGGCGACGGUUGUCCCGGUUUAAGCGUGUAGGCUGGUUUUCCAGGCAAAUCCGGAAAAUCAAGGCUGAGGCGUGAUGACGAGGCACUACGGUGCUGAAGCAACAAAUGCCCUGCUUCCAGGAAAAGCCUCUAAGCAUCAGGUAACAUCAAAUCGUACCCCAAACCGACACAGGUGGUCAGGUAGAGAAUACCAAGGCGCUUGAGAGAACUCGGGUGAAGGAACUAGGCAAAAUGGUGCCGUAACUUCGGGAGAAGGCACGCUGAUAUGUAGGUGAAGUCCCUCGCGGAUGGAGCUGAAAUCAGUCGAAGAUACCAGCUGGCUGCAACUGUUUAUUAAAAACACAGCACUGUGCAAACACGAAAGUGGACGUAUACGGUGUGACGCCUGCCCGGUGCCGGAAGGUUAAUUGAUGGGGUUAGCGCAAGCGAAGCUCUUGAUCGAAGCCCCGGUAAACGGCGGCCGUAACUAUAACGGUCCUAAGGUAGCGAAAUUCCUUGUCGGGUAAGUUCCGACCUGCACGAAUGGCGUAAUGAUGGCCAGGCUGUCUCCACCCGAGACUCAGUGAAAUUGAACUCGCUGUGAAGAUGCAGUGUACCCGCGGCAAGACGGAAAGACCCCGUGAACCUUUACUAUAGCUUGACACUGAACAUUGAGCCUUGAUGUGUAGGAUAGGUGGGAGGCUUUGAAGUGUGGACGCCAGUCUGCAUGGAGCCGACCUUGAAAUACCACCCUUUAAUGUUUGAUGUUCUAACGUUGACCCGUGAUCCGGGUUGCGGACAGUGUCUGGUGGGUAGUUUGACUGGGGCGGUCUCCUCCUAAAGAGUAACGGAGGAGCACGAAGGUUGGCUAAUCCUGGUCGGACAUCAGGAGGUUAGUGCAAUGGCAUAAGCCAGCUUGACUGCGAGCGUGACGGCGCGAGCAGGUGCGAAAGCAGGUCAUAGUGAUCCGGUGGUUCUGAAUGGAAGGGCCAUCGCUCAACGGAUAAAAGGUACUCCGGGGAUAACAGGCUGAUACCGCCCAAGAGUUCAUAUCGACGGCGGUGUUUGGCACCUCGAUGUCGGCUCAUCACAUCCUGGGGCUGAAGUAGGUCCCAAGGGUAUGGCUGUUCGCCAUUUAAAGUGGUACGCGAGCUGGGUUUAGAACGUCGUGAGACAGUUCGGUCCCUAUCUGCCGUGGGCGCUGGAGAACUGAGGGGGGCUGCUCCUAGUACGAGAGGACCGGAGUGGACGCAUCACUGGUGUUCGGGUUGUCAUGCCAAUGGCACUGCCCGGUAGCUAAAUGCGGAAGAGAUAAGUGCUGAAAGCAUCUAAGCACGAAACUUGCCCCGAGAUGAGUUCUCCCUGACCCUUUAAGGGUCCUGAAGGAACGUUGAAGACGACGACGUUGAUAGGCCGGGUGUGUAAGCGCAGCGAUGCGUUGAGCUAACCGGUACUAAUGAACCGUGAGGCUUAACCUU
rnacentral:rRNA from 1 species